rnacentral:tRNA from 1 species
GGCCUGGUCGCCAAGUGGUAAGGCAGAGCUCUGCAAAAGCUCCACCGCCGGUUCAAAUCCGGCCCAGGCCU